GCCCGCCGUUCGCCGAACGAAGUCGUGGAGGUGGCGAAACGAGGAGGAGAUAACGAGGCCGUGGGCUCUGGUGUCUCCCAGUCUGCUAAAGCCCUAAGGCCAUCACCAUGGACUUCCAGCAUCGCCCCGGGGGCAAGACCGGGAGCGGGGGCGUGGCCUCCUCCUCCGAGAGCAACCGUGACCGCAGGGAGCGCCUCCGGCAGCUGGCCCUGGAGACCAUCGACAUCAACAAGGACCCGUACUUCAUGAAGAACCACCUGGGCUCCUAUGAAUGCAAACUCUGCCUGACACUUCACAACAAUGAGGGGAGCUACCUGGCACAUACGCAGGGGAAGAAGCACCAGACCAACCUGUGAGUACUUCAUGUCCCUUUGAUGCCUGGUGCUCCAGCAGCCGUCGGCUCAAGUCUCUGUGAGCCUCGCGGGCCACUGCUCCACAGCCGGGGAGCCAGCCUGGCCUGAGCCUCCCUGGGCGCUGGAGUACGGUUCCUGGGGAGCAUUAGAGAACAGAGGCAUGGAUGGCUGAGGCGGGCAGAUCACUUGAGGUCAGGAGUUCGAGACCAGCCUGGCCAACAUUGUGAAACUCCAUCUCUACUAAAAAUACAAAAAUUAGGCCAGGCAUGGUGGCACACGUCUGUAAUCACAGCUACUAUGGAGGCUGAGGCAGGAGAAUCUUGAAUCUGGGAGGCAGAGGUUGCAGUGAACCAAGGUGCUGCCACUGCACUCCAUCCUGGGCGACAGAGUGAGACUCUUGUCUUAU
rnacentral:sRNA from 1 species